ACCAAAUUUGGUUAUCGAGCAGCGGCACCCAUAAGCAAGUCUAACAAGGAAAUAAUAACAAAAAAAAGUCGAACUGUGUAUAUACAGUAUCAUAUAUACGUUAAUUUGAAAAUAAAUAUAAAUACGUCAAGGCAUUCCAACCAGGUAUGCCCAGUAAUCUCGCGUUUCAACAACAACAAAACAAGAAACGACUCCGUGCACCAAUUAUCUAAGUAGCCAUGACGAUAGCUGCAAAGUAACAAUGGUACCAUUGUGAAGUGACUGUGGUCGUAUGUAGAACAUUGUAUGGUGCAGGGCUACAGUUGUUUAGGUAUCAAUGGUAAAAAUGAAGUUUCACGAACAGGAAGCCUACCAGUAGUAUGGUAUGCAUGCAACUGUAGUACCGGUAGUCAUAAAUAAUUUAACCUUUUAUGGUAAGAAAAUUGAACUUCAGUGUGUAACUGGAAGGCACAUGAUCAAUGAAUAAAUGGUAUUCUACAAGAUCAAGGUAGGAUUAAAUUUCAUGUGGAACUAACCACUUCAUACAGAACAUGGAAAAAGCAAAGGUACUCUGGAUCAAGUCGACAGUGGAGCUGGCAAUGGCGAAGAAAGUUCUGGAUCCACUUUAAUCGGAUGAAAAGGCAGCAGAAUGUGUUCACCUUGUCUUGGAGAAUACUCGGAUCUUUUGCACUGUAGAGCAGGCAAGCAUCAUCAGCAAACAAUUUGCUCAAGAAAUUGGAGCAGUUAGACAGAUCAUUUAUGUAAAUUAAGAAACCAAGAGGACCUAACACACUACCUUGAGGAAUUCCGUGAUGAAUGGGCAACAUCGGAGACUGCUGAGAAUCCACCUCCACAUAUUGGAAUCGACCCGAAAGAUUCAAUAUCAUUUGGAGGACCUCUGCAGGAGUAGUUACUUCAAGAAAGAAAGAGCUUUGCAGAGGAGCACCCAAGAAGUACGCGAAUGAUUUUGAGCUAUGAGGUAGUUUAUCUGCAAGCUUCUUCCCCACUGUUGAGAAAAAUUUAUUGAAUUCGCUAGCCACCAUGACAGGGUCUCUGACUGUAGUACCAUUAUCGAGUUUCAAUUCUGAGAUGGGGGUAUCAUCUCUGGACUUGAUUUUGAUAAUUU